UGCUGCUGCGUCUGCUGCUGAGUCUGCUGCUGGGUAUGCUGCUGCGUCGCUGGAUCGGGAUCCCCCUCGUAAUCUGGCAGGAUUAUCCUUUGGACAGAAAGUGGCUGGCCAAAGAUAAGAGCCACUAUUCUUUCUCGGGGAGUUUGGCCGCUGAGCUCCUCCUCUUCAAUACGGACCAGCGUUGGAAGCGAUUCCUCGGAGAUGGCCGGAUCUGGAUGUUGUUGUUGAUGGCUGCUCCGAUCCUGAUUUCGAGGUUACAGCGGGCGGAAGUGUUGAAGCAGCUGUUGCAGAUAUCGUGGCCUCUGCAAUCGCUGUGGCUCAUACGGCUGCAGUAAUAGUUUCCGAGCCUCCGGAUUGACAUGGCAAGCCAAGGAGUUGCGAAGCGCCCACUUGCCGCAUGGAACACUUCGUCGAUUGUGUCUAGAUUGCUUUGCACCCGUCGCAGCUGGGAAUCGGAUGUAAGUGCGCCCCAAACCGGAAGACCAUAUUGCCAAAUGGGCAUGAUGAGCUGCUUGAUGACUAUAGCCUUGGUUUCGCUUGGCAGCCGGCUUUUUGGGCCAGCAAGCCAGUCCAGUUUGGCCGCUCUUGAUCGGAGUUUUGUGCAGAUCCUCGUGAUGUGUGAGCUUAGGGUGAUUUGGACAGCUCCAAUGCAUCCACAAUCUGCAUCAGCUCAGGCA